rnacentral:rRNA from 1 species
UGGGGAAUCUUGCACAAUGGGGGAAACCCUGAUGCAGCGACGCCGCGUGAACGAUGAAGCCCUUCGGGGUGUAAAGUUCUUUCGACAGGAACGAUAGUGACGGUACCUGGAGAAGAAGCUGCGGCUAACUACGUGCCAGCAGCCGCGGUAAUACGUAGGCAGCGAGCGUUGUUCGGAGUUACUGGGCGUAAAGAGUGCGUAGGCGGCGAGCCAAGUUUGGUGUGAAAUCUCCCGGCUUAACCGGGAGGGUGCGCCGAAAACUGGUUGGCUGGAGUAUGGGAGAGGAAAGCGGAAUUCCUGGUGUAGCGGUGAAAUGCGUAGAUAUCAGGAGGAACACCUGCGGUGUAGACAGCUUUCUGGACCAAAACUGACGCUGAGGCACGAAAGCGUGGGUAGCAAACA